GAGGUCGGCCGCGUGGCUGGAAGACAUGGCCACUCCAGUCGGUGUUGAGCACGGCGAGCAGUCUCAGGCCUUUAGUGAUGAUGAUUAAAGGUGGUGGCUGUGGCCUUGAAAACAGUCAUGUGAAAACUCAUCACCUUAAGGUGUUAAGUGUAAGGAUCUUCAUGAUGAAAUUUCUGUAAAUGGUGCAGUCAGCCUCAGUUUCCAAAGCCGGAAAAGGAUCCUCUAGUAGCCACGGUGUGGCAGCUGCUCUGAACCAGGACCUGGACCCGGACCCAAAGUGCCAUGUCUUUAAUGUUAGCUCCCAGCGAUGCCAGAUGGGAUCAGCACAGCCCUGCCUCUGCUGCUAAUUGUUCCUCUAAAGUAAUCGCCAUGCGUUCUUUGGGCUUCAUCUUUAAAGGAAUGAAGCAACUGAGAUUAUUCUGGAAAACCUUUUGGCAGUUAGUGAAAUUAGAGUACAACUAAGAACAUUUUCAGACCUCCACUGUGGAUGACCUGGGUAUAAUCUCACAAAUCGAUGGGACUGCAAGGAUUGUAAACUGAAAUGAACAUGAUUAUACUCUGUUGGAAGAGCCUAAGAGGAAACUGAUGCCAUGAGUUUCAGAGAGUAAUGCUUAACCCCAGUUACACAGGAUGCCGUCUUGUGUUUCCUCUUGUUUAGAUGGUCUCUAUCUCCUGACCUUGUGAUCUGCCUGCCUCAGCUUCCCAAAGUGCUGAGAUGACAGGUGUGAGCCAUCAGACCCAGCAUUUUUUUUUUUAAUUUAAAUUUAAAUUUUUUUUCAUUUUUUUGAGAGGUUUUUUUUGUUUUGUUUUGUUGUUGUUGUUGUUGUUGUUUUUGAGACAGUCUUGCUCUGUCACCCAGGCUGGGAGUGCAGUGGCAUGAUCUCUGCAACCUCUACCUCCCAGGUUCAAGCAAUUCUUGUGCCUCAGCCUCCCAAGUAACUGGGACUACAGGUGCACGCUACCACACCUGGCUGAUUUUUUUUGUUUUAGUAGAGACAGGGUUUCAACCAUGUUGCCCAGGUUGGUCUCAAACUCCUGAGCUCAGGCAAUCCACCCGCCUUGGCCUCCCAAAGUGCUAGGAUUACAGGUGUGAGCCACCACACCCAGCUAUUUUUUCUUUCGUUUUUUAAUUUUAAAGUUGGGGGGGGGUCUCAAUUUGUUACCCUGGCUGGUCUCGAACUCCCGGACUUAAGCGAUCCUCUGGCUCCAAGCCCACUACCAGUCUCAGGUUUCUUUACUAAAAGAUCACUACCUUUUUUUCUCUUAUCUGCUGCCAUGUGAGAUGUGGCUUUCACCUUCCGCCAUGAUUGUGAGGCCUUCCCAGCCAUGUAGAACUGUAAGUCCAAUAAACCUCUUUUGUAAAUUAAAAAAAAAAAAUCACUAUUUAAGAUACUAGGAUGGAUUGUGACUGUUGAGGAGUACUUACAUAUCCUACAUUUGACUACAUUAUUUCCAAACCAAGUAUUCCAUCCAAAGGAACAUACUGCUAUCAUAGAGACCAAGGAGGGACUGUUUAAGGUUGCCAAGGUGAAGCGAGCUGAGAGGCUUUGUCCUCGUGCCAGUAACUCUGAAAUCUCUCUUAAUUCCUGCUGUCCAGGCAGCAGAAUGCCAUGGUUUCCCCAAGUAGGUAGCUGCUUUAGCAGUUAAAGCCCAAAUGUCUGUUCUGUUGAUCAGAGGUCUCUGAAUUUCUGAAGUGGUGUUUCGUUUCUGGUGACUGAGUUAAUCCUUUACAAUCCCUCUUGUAAAGUGUGCUAAUAGAAAGAAUCCACCUUUCAAAGCUGCAGAACCAGACCGUGCCCUAAAUUGACCAACGUAACUGAUGUGCCUCAGGAAGUCUCUUGCCAGCUGUCCCUGUGAAGACCCCCCUCCUCCCCCCCAGCUGCUGCCUUGCACACUGAAGCAUCUCAGACUGUGCAAAGCCGUGUAGUCAUCAAGACAGUAAAUCCCAGGGCUUGGUUAAGUGC
rnacentral:lncRNA from 10 species